rnacentral:rRNA from 1 species
GACGAACGCUGGCGGCGUGCUUAACACAUGCAAGUCGAACGGUAAGGCCCUUCGGGGUACACGAGUGGCGAACGGGUGAGUAACACGUGGGUGAUCUGCCCUGCACUUUGGGAUAAGCCUGGGAAACAGGGUCUAAUACCGGAUAGGACCAUGGACUUCACGGUUUGUGGUGGAAAGCUUUUGCGGUGUGGGAUGGGCCCGCGGCCUAUCAGCUUGUUGGUGGGGUAAUGGCCUACCAAGGCGACGACGGGUAGCCGGCCUGAGAGGGGGUCCGGCCACACUGGGACUGAGAUACGGCCCAGACUCCUACGGGAGGCAGCAGUGGGGAAUAUUGCACAAUGGGCGCAAGCCUGAUGCAGCGACGCCGCGUGGGGGAUGACGGCCUUCGGGUUGUAAACCUCUUUCAGUAGGGACGAAGCGCAAGUGACGGUGCCUACAGAAGAAGCACCGGCCAACUACGUGCCAGCCGCCGCCGUAA